rnacentral:rRNA from 1 species
UAAGGAAUAUUGCUCAAUGGGAGAAAUCCUGAAGCAGCAACGCCGCGUGGAGGAUGAAGGGUCUAUGACUUGUAAACUCCUGUAAAGAAGGAAAAAAUUCCCAUUAGAUGGGAGAUGAUGGUACUUCUGGAGUAAGCCCCGGCUAACUACGUGCCAGCAGCCGCGGUAAUACGUAGGGUGCAAGCGUUAUCCGGAUUUAUUGGGUUUAAAGGGUCCGUAGGCGGACUUAUAAGUCAGUGGUGAAAGCCUGUCGCUUAACGAUAGAACUGCCAUUGAUACUGUAAGUCUUGAGUAUAUUUGAGGUAGCUGGAAUAAGUAGUGUAGCGGUGAAAUGCAUAGAUAUUACUUAGAACACCAAUUGCGAAGGCAGGUUACCAAGAUAUAACUGACGCUGAGGGACGAAAGCGUGGGGAGCGAACA